GAUGAACGCUGGCGGCGUGCCUAAUACAUGCAAGUCGAGCGGACGGACGAUAAGCUUGCUCUUUUGAUGUUAGCGGCGGACGGGCGAGUAACGCGUGGAUCACCAACUUAUAUUACGGGGAGAACAUCGGGAAACCGGUGAUAAUAAUGGAUCAUAUUUUGUACCGGAUGGUUCAAAAGUGAUAGACGGUUUUCGCGUCACUUAGAGAUGGAUCCGCGCUGCAUUAGCUAGUUGGUAAGGUAACGGCUUACCAAGGCAACGAUGCAUAGCCGACCUGAGAGGGUGAUCAGCCACACUGGAACUGAGACACGGUCCAGACUCCUACGGGAGGCAGCAGUGGGGAAUAUUGCACAAUGGGCGAAAGCCUGAUGCAGCAACACCGCGUGAGUGAUGAAGGUCUUCGGGUCGUAAAGCCCUGUUAUUGGGAAAGAACAGAUGUAGAAGAAUAUGUCGCUGUUUUGACGGUACCUAAAGAAUAAGCCACGGCUAACUACGUG
rnacentral:rRNA from 1 species